rnacentral:rRNA from 1 species
GUCUACAGCCAUGCCACCCUGAACGUGCCUGAUCUCGUCUGAUCUUGGAAGCUAAGCAGGGUUGAGCUUGAUUAGUACUUGGAUAGGAGACAACCUAGGAAUACCAGGUGCUGUCGGCA